GAGGGUAUAGCUCAAUUGAUAGAGUGCAUCCCUAGCAUGUGUGAGGUCCUGGGUUCAAUCCCCAGCACCUCCA
rnacentral:tRNA from 1 species